ACGAUUGUCGAUGAAACGAGUUAAUUCGUGACAAAUGAGUUUUCUACGAAAAUAUGAAGUUUAUUUUGUACAUUAUAAAAACUAACAUGUGAACUAUUCUAACGUUGGUAUCACAAUUGAUCAAUUUCGUUGAUUCGUCCUUAACGGUUUAUAUAGUCGAUUAGUGUUGGCUGCUGGAACGGCGUUUUGUUGACUCGGCGAGUCUUUGGCGAGUUCCUCGGGUUCCGGAGUCGAGGGUUGUUUCGCGAUCCAAUCAAGAGCUCUCUGUAUGGCUGGCGGUAUUGGUGGCGGUGUUGGCACCUGAGUUUCAGACGGCGUGCCGACGUACUUUCGGCUUCCGGUCUCUGUUUGUACGAUACCACCUUCGGUCUCAUAAGUGAA
rnacentral:misc_RNA from 1 species